rnacentral:rRNA from 1 species
CAAAUCCGGACUUCCUUAACACAGAGAGAUGAUGACGAGGCUCUACGGAGCUGAAGUAACUGAUACCACACUUCCAGGAAAAGCCACUAAGCGAAAGGCUUUACUAAACCGUACUGAAAACCGACACAGGUGGUCAGGUAGAGAAUACUCAGGCGCUUGAGAGAACUCGGGUGAAGGAACUAGGCAAAAUAGCACCGUAACUUCGGGAGAAGGUGCGCCGGCGUAGAUUGUAGUCCCUAGCGGGCGAAGGUUGAACCGGUCGAAGAUACCAGCUGGCUGCAACUGUUUAUUAAAAACACAGCACUCUGCAAACACGAAAGUGGACGUAUAGGGUGUGAUGCCUGCCCGGUGCUGGAAGGUUAAUUGAUGGUGUCAUCGAAAGAGAAGCACCUGAUCGAAGCCCCAGUAAACGGCGGCCGUAACUAUAACGGUCCUAAGGUAGCGAAAUUCCUUGUCGGGUAAGUUCCGACCUGCACGAAUGGCAUAAUGAUGGCCAGGCUGUCUCCACCCGAGACUCAGUGAAAUUGAAAUCGCCGUGAAGAUGCGGUGUACCCGCGGCUAGACGGAAAGACCCCGUGAACCUUUACUAUAGCUUGACACUGAACAUUGAAUUUUGAUGUGUAGGAUAGGUGGGAGACUUAGAAGUAGGAACGCCAGUUUCUAUGGAGUCAUCCUUGAAAUACCACCCUUUAACGUUUGAUGUUCUAACGAAGACUACGGAACGUGGUCUCGGACAGUGUCUGGUGGGUAGUUUGACUGGGGCGGUCUCCUCCCAAAGCGUAACGGAGGAGCACGAAGGUUUGCUAAUCACGGUCGGACAUCGUGAGGUUAGUGCAAUGGUAUAAGCAAGCUUAACUGCGAGACAGACAAGUCGAGCAGGUACGAAAGUAGGUCAUAGUGAUCCGGUGGUUCUGAAUGGAAGGGCCAUCGCUCAACGGAUAAAAGGUACUCCGGGGAUAACAGGCUGAUACCGCCCAAGAGUUCAUAUCGACGGCGGUGUUUGGCACCUCGAUGUCGGCUCAUCACAUCCUGGGGCUGAAGUAGGUCCCAAGGGUAUGGCUGUUCGCCAUUUAAAGUGGUACGCGAGCUGGGUUUAGAACGUCGUGAGACAGUUCGGUCCCUAUCUGCCGUGGGCGUUGGAUGAUUGAUUGGGGCUGCUCCUAGUACGAGAGGACCGGAGUGGACGCAUCACUGGUGUUCCGGUUGUGUCGCCAGACGCAUUGCCGGGUAGCUAAAUGCGGAAGAGAUAAGUGCUGAAAGCAUCUAAGCACGAAACUUGCCAAGAGAUGAGUCAUCCCUGACUUUAAGUCAGUAAGGGUUGUUGUAGACUACGACGUAGAUAGGUC